rnacentral:tRNA from 1 species
GCCGUAGACACAUUUAAGGUCAGGGCCUGACUUGUAAUCAGUAGGUCCCGAGUUCGACUCUUGGUGCCGGCACCA